AUUGAACGCUGGCGGCAUGCUUUACACAUGCCAGUCGAACGGCAGCGCGGGCUUCGGCCUGGCGGCGAGUGGCGAACGGGUGAGUAAUGCAUCGGAACGUGCCCAGUAGUGGGGGAUAGCCCGGCGAAAGCCGGAUUAAUACCGCAUACGACCUGAGGGUGAAAGCGGGGGACCGAAAGGCCUCGCGCUAUUGGAGCGGCCGAUGUCGGAUUAGCUAGUUGGUGGGGUAAAGGCUUACCAAGGCGACGAUCCGUAGCUGGUCUGAGAGGACGACCAGCCACACUGGGACUGAGAAACGGCCCAGACUCCUACGGGAGGCAGCAGUGGGGAAUUUUGGACAAUGGGGGCAAACCUGAUCCAGCCAUGCCGCGUGCGGGAAGAAGGCCUUCGGGUUGUAAACCGCUUUUGUUCGGGGAGAAAUCCUCUGGGCUAAUACCCCGGGGGGAUGACGGUACCGGAAGAAUAAGCACCGGCUAACUACGUG
rnacentral:rRNA from 1 species